AUUGAACGCUGGCGGCAGGCUUAACACAUGCAAGUCGAGCGGAGAUGAGGUGCUUGCACCUUAUCUUAGCGGCGGACGGGUGAGUAAUGCUUAGGAAUCUGCCUAUUAGUGGGGGACAACAUUCCGAAAGGAAUGCUAAUACCGCAUACGUCCUACGGGAGAAAGCAGGGGAUCUUCGGACCUUGCGCCAAUAGAUGAGCCUAAGUCGGAUUAGCUAGUUGGUGGGGUAAAGGCCUACCAAGGCGACGAUCUGUAGCGGGUCUGAGAGGAUGAUCCGCCACACUGGGACUGAGACACGGCCCAGACUCCUACGGGAGGCAGCAGUGGGGAAUAUUGGACAAUGGGCGGAAGCCUGAUCCAGCCAUGCCGCGUGUGUGAAGAAGGCCUUUUGGUUGUAAAGCACUUUAAGCGAGGAGGAGGCUACUUAGAUUAAUACUCUAGGAUAGUGGACGUUACUCGCAGAAUAAGCACCGGCUAACUCUGUGCCAGCCGCCGCAGUAAAAC
rnacentral:rRNA from 1 species